GAAAAUCUACACGAUAAAGCUGCGGACAAGACAGAACACAUAGACGUUGUGAACUUGUGUCACUGUUUGGGUCUAUGUUGGUGAUAUGAUCGUGCCUGGAUGAACAAGUCCACACUAUGUUGACAGACUUUGUAUGAGUUUAUUGUUGAGAUAUAAAAGUGACAAUUUAUUUUCAACUAAACCUAGUAACGUGUAGCGGUAUUUAAUAGCAUCUUAUAAUAAAGCGGAAUUACAAUAGAGAUAUAGGAAGUUACAAGACCAUAAGUAACGACAUCAUAUUAUAUUAUAAAAGGCGCUGGAUAUAUUAAUAGUUUAAUGUGUUUUUGGCUAUCCAUGUAAGACAGUUUUAACUGAAGGAAAAUAACAUAAAGCUUAUUAUGGAGCAGUAAGAAAAGAAACCUAACAAAUUACCUGAAAUCAAUGAGGAACGUUUGACGAUAUCCAUUGAUUGUUAUGAAAAACAGUAACCAUGGUUUUAAUCAUUCAUAUUGCGGUUGCCUUGGUAACUAUCAUCCUAAAUACAGUAAAUGCGGAUUCGUGUCCCGAAAAUUGGCUAGAAAACAACAAUAAAUGUUACUUGGUUUCUACGUCACAAUCGACGUAUGACGAUGCUUUGCAAAGGUGUAACGAACAAGCGGCAGUGUUUCCGGAUGUCAAAACAAACCAAUCAGUGAUACGUUUACAAGCUACGCUAAACAUAAUCAAUAAUUUUCAAAUAUGGACAGAAUUUCGAAUUUUCAAAAACCUGUCCGAAGCUUUUAUAUUGGACAGAGAUAAUUCUUCCCACGUGACAGACUGUAUGGGAUGUAACCAAUUAAAAGAAGCCUUUCUGGCCUCUGUUGAUACGUCAUCGUGUAUUUCAAUCAGAAAUUUAACGGAUAGUGGAUCCGAGUUUUUGCUGUCUCUCUGUAAUACAACCCAUAACUAUAUAUGUGAAAAGAAUGCAGAGCCGUCGAUUGGUUUAGAAUAUAAAGACAUAGCUGCCAUCGCAUGUGCGUCAUUUUUAUUCGUCAGUUUUGUUGUUGCCAUGCUGGUCGCCACAAUUAAAACACCUAACCAGACGGACGCGGACAAAUUGAUACAACAAGAUGGCCGAUAUUAAACAGAAAGAAGCCUAGUGACGCAGACAUGUGACGACGCGUACGUGGUAUUAACAUUUUUUAAUAAAUAAACAUUGGCAAAGGAGGAUAAAGGAGUCGUUUUGUGGUCAUUACCGAUUGUUUAAUGAAAAUCAAGUAAAUUAGAUCUUUGCCAUUGCCCAUACUACACUCUCUGAUGAAGACGAUGAAUGACUGACGGUCACUUGAAAGUGAACUGGUAGUUCGAGAGUAAACCAACUAGGAACUGUUUUUGUUUGUUUUUUUGUUUUAUGAUUUAAAGCAACAGAUUCAUUUUCGUAUCAGGUAUCAAACUAAAACAAUAUAUCUGUUUUAAUUCAAAUUUCUACAUUUAAAAUUGAAACUUUCGAUGUGUUGCAAGUUUAAACAAUUCUAUUAGCUUAUUCAGUUGAGUUUUAUUAACAAGAUCUGCUUCAUUACUUAUCUGACAUAUAGCAUCAUCGUCACAAAAAUCAACAGAAAAAAGUCGACAAGAACUGGCUAUAUUCACUACCAGGUUCGGAUUUACCUACUAUGCCUAUUGAAAAAUACGGCCUUGACUACAGUCAUUUAAAAGUUUCUUUGGUAGAUAGAUGUGAUUUCCAAACCGAUCACGUGUAGCAUAAAUGAUUGGUGAUAAUUAUGAUAAUGGUAAUCAGGGUGAUUAUGCUUAGUAACGGAAGGGAAAGCACCGCCAGUUUAGUUUUUGUCUUAAUAACUUAAAGUCCGGAUUUUGAAUAAUUACAAAAUCAAACCUGAACAGUAUGACCUAAUGGUUCUCGGAAAGACUGUUGUUGACUUUUAAAUCAUUGUUGAUUCCCCACUAAUAUUAUGACCAAUACACAUGUUGUGGCACAUGAACUACGAAAAUGCCCUUAUCAACAAAAACACCACAUAAGCCCUGACUGAGUAUGAAUGUACAGAUAAAUAAUGAGUAUGAAUGUACAGAUAUACAAUUAUAAUGUUAACUGAGUAUCAAUGUACAGAUAUUUAAUUAUAAUGUUAACUGAUUGUGAAUGUACAGAUAUAUAAUUAUAAUGUAAACUGGGUAUGAAUGUACAGAUAUAUAAUUAUACAGUAAUGUUAACUGAGUAUCAAUGUACAGAUAUUUAAUUAUAAUGUUAACUGAGUGUGAAUGUGCAGAUAUAUAAUUAUAAUGUUAACUGGGUAUGAAUGUACAGAUAUAUAAUUAUAAUGUUAACUGAGUGUGAAUGUACAGAUAUAUAAUUAUAAUGUUAACUGAGUAUCAAUGUACAGAUAUAUAAUUAUAAAUGUUAAAAAAGUAUAAAUGUACAGAUUUAUAUAAUUUUAAAUGUUGACUGGGUAUCGAUGUACUAACACUUGUGAUGAAUAAUUUAAAGAGUAGUUAUCAUUCUCACCAAAAUAAUAAUAACAACCUUAGACCCACUCAGCUUGCGAGUUCUCUUUGUCUGUGGUGCAGGAUGGGGGACCUAGCUAGGAACAGUGGCUAGCCCUGCGGUUGGCACGAAUAGGCGAGGUCCCGUGUUCACGUUGGAGUGCACGUAAAAGAUCCCUUGCCAGUUGAAAUUCGACGAAGAGUAGGCGGAAAUACCACUGUCUGCUAGAAAUGUCCCUCGGGGUACAAAAUCACACUGUACACAGAGGACUACCUACUUCGAGAAUAAAUAUCUGCCCUGAACGGCAGCCAUAUCCAAUAUAUAGUAUACUUUUUUGUAAUGCGGUUCUACUCCGUUUCAAAUCUGUCAUACACACAAAGACUAUCUAAACCUUCUAAAAAAAAAUUUUAAUGGCAGUGGAAUGAAUAUAUCUAAACAUUAUCGAAGUAUAUACUUAGUUUUUUCGACUAAAAUUUCGAUUUAUAAAUUAAAAUGUCGGUCAACAAGCUUAGUGUCUGUUCUCCGGUGAAGUAGACAGCGUGCGUUUAGUAUGACGAGCACAUUGGUGUAUGUCCUUCAUCAAACCGAUUUGUGCAGAAAAGCAGGAUAUAAAACACCAUUUCAUUUCAUUUCGUUAACUUUCUUGCAAAUCACUGAAGCAUUGUAGGGGCACAAAUCGAAAGUAGAAAGGUGUUACCUUAUAUAUCCUGGCCAAAGGGAAGAGGUGGUGUCAAAUCCAGACAACAAAGGUUAAGUUAUCUCGUGACUAAUUAAUGCCAUUCCUGCUCCUCCCUAGUUACCUGUUCUACCCCAGUUGAUACUUAUAUACACGUCUCCUUUUUGAUACUCUUUUAUUAUUUGUUGUAUGUAAUAAAAUAAAUUGUUAGUAUCCAUAACAUGUCUCUUUAACAUUAUAUUAUAUAUCUUAAUAUAUUUAAAUUGCUGUGUUGAUGACUAAUUGGGGGCCGCGUUGGUCUGGUGAGUGAGGCGUCCUGGCCGAGAAAGUAUCUCGGCAAUUUUCGGUGUGGUUUGGUGCAAGGCGGAGGGCGGGGGUCCUGCCACGGUACACGUAACAGAGCCAUUCGAAAUAAGAGUAGGUUGCACCGCCAGUGUCCAGGCAAAAGUUCUCUCAUAGCGCACUUUAUGGCGUACGCCCGUCUUCAUUAGCCCAGUCGUUGCUGAAAAGUAGGACGUUAAACCCUAUUUCUUUUCGUUUUAUUUGAUUAUUUGUAAUCGUUAAAUUUAUAUAUUGUUUUAUUGUUGUGUAUAUAAAUAUAAUUUUUAAAUUUUACUUUUGUUUUGCCGUUGUGUAUAAAAAUAUUUUACAUUAAAAUAAAGUACA